GGGGGCUGGCGAGCGCUGGGUUCUGCGCUCCCCGAGGGAGAGCCCGCGAGGAAGGAGCGGACAUGGCCGCGAAUAGGAACUUGAAGCAAGUGCGGAUCGAAAACAGCUCCCCACCGGCGCCGCUGGGCUUGGUGGGGGGUGGUGGCGGCGGCAACCUGAAAGGAUUGCGCGGCCUAGAAGCGGAGAGUGAGGCGGCAGCGGCGGCCAUGGCUCUGGCGCCGAGCAAAGAAGGUGGCGGAGAUGAGGAGCAGGAGGUUGGGUUCACCAUUGAUAUCAAGAGCUUUCUCAAGCCUGGCGAGAAGAGCUACACGCAGCGUUGCCGGCUGUUCGUAGGGAAUCUGCCUACUGAUAUCACCGAGGAGGAUUUCAAGCGCCUGUUCGAGCGCUACGGGGAGCCCAGCGAGGUCUUCAUCAAUCGGGACCGUGGCUUCGGCUUCAUCCGCCUGGAAUCUAGGACCCUGGCUGAAAUAGCAAAGGCAGAACUUGAUGGUACUAUUUUGAAGAGCAGACCACUUCGAAUUCGAUUUGCUACCCAUGGAGCUGCCUUAACUGUGAAGAAUCUGUCACCUGUGGUUUCCAAUGAGCUGCUGGAACAAGCAUUCUCUCAAUUCGGGCCAGUGGAAAGAGCGGUUGUUGUAGUAGAUGAUCGCGGCAGAGCUACAGGGAAAGGUUUUGUAGAGUUUGCUGCAAAACCUCCAGCACGGAAAGCUCUAGAAAGAUGCAGUGAUGGGGCAUUCUUGCUUACAACAACACCUCGACCAGUUGUUGUAGAACCAAUGGAGCAAUUUGAUGAUGAGGAUGGACUCCCCGAGAAGCUAAUGCAAAAAACACAACAGUACCACAAGGAAAGAGAACAGCCACCACGCUUUGCUCAGCCUGGAACAUUUGAGUUUGAGUAUGCUUCACGGUGGAAGGCUCUUGAUGAGAUGGAAAAGCAGCAGCGUGAACAGGUUGACAGGAACAUUAGAGAAGCCAAAGAGAAACUUGAGGCAGAAAUGGAAGCAGCUAGACAUGAGCAUCAGCUAAUGCUGAUGAGGCAAGAUCUCAUGCGUCGUCAGGAAGAAUUGAGGCGCUUAGAAGAACUUAGAAACCAAGAACUUCAAAAACGCAAGCAGAUACAAUUGAGACAUGAAGAAGAACACAGACGUCGUGAAGAAGAGAUGCUACGCCAGAGGGAGCAGGAGGAAUUACGACGACAGCAGGAGGGAGGAUUUAAGCCAAAUUUCAUGGAUAAUGUAAGCCUGAACAAAUGCAAACAUGACCACAGCUCUGCGGAUCAUCUUGGGUUCCCUUUGGAAACCCCAAAUAAGUGGCCACAAGGGAUUGUCUGUUUUCCUGAGAACAGCUCGGCAUUGGAGUUCUUCUUUCUGUGUGCUGGAUAGUGGUUCUGCUACUCUAAAAAUCAUACCUAUGCCUGCUGGUGCAAAAUGCCAUAUGGUCACUUCAGUGGAAGUCAAAAUUUACCUGUGCUGCUGUGUGUUGCUAGGUUGCUAUUAAAAUCUUAAAAUGCAGAUGAAGACUGGCUUGUGCAGAAUCCUUCUGCUAUCUUGUGCAGACUUAAGGGAAUCCUAAAGCAGGCUUUAGUACAAGGUUUAAAUGAAAGCCGCUGGUGGCUGCCCACCCUCAAGAACUGAAGACGGCUGUUACAUUGUGAUGAUGUGCAAAAUGCUGCUCUGCACCUUGGACUUACAAAGACCAUCCUGCGUGGCUGGAUCUAUGAGACCUACCCUGAGGGAAAAGGGCUGUUUGAAGAACGUGAAUACAUCUGCAUGUGAGGUCCAAGACCUCUUCCUACAUGAGGAGACAAGUUACAGCUUUUUUGAUGUUACUGUCUUCAGCCUCUGGCAGAGAAGGUGGUGCCAGUCCAGCAUUUCACAGUAAAGCUGAUGUUGGCCUACUUUGAUGUGUAACUGAAGUACUGAUGCUCUUUUCAUCUAGACUGCACUCUAACAAGGCAGUGGACAUGAAUUGAAGACUUGACAGGAACUUCAUGCAGUUAAGUCCUGAAGUGGGAACUGAACUAAGCUGAUGCAGUUGUAGAUCCUGGGCACAGACUGGUGGUGAAGCAGCUUUGUGGAGGCUGAUCUGGGCCCUGAGGGCCAAGUGAAGAUGAAGUUGUCUAUCCACAUGCUGGGCUCCAUUGGAAGAUCAUGGCUGAGCAGGGGCCAAAAGAGCAGUCUCUCUGUUGGUACUUCUGAGUCUGCAGCUGAAACACUGUGCCCAGUUCUGAGCUCUUGAUGAUGAGAAGAUGUGGGGACAAGUCCCAUGGCAGUCACUGGGCAAUCGGAAGGCUGAAGCACAGGGACCAUGGGGCCAGGCAGCAGGGUUCCUUCCAGCUGGAGAACAGGAGGUGGGGGGGUUAAGAGCUCCUGUUAAUCUGGCUGUGUAAGGGAAGGGUGUAGAGAAGAUGGAGCCAGGCUCG